GAUGAACGCUGGCGGCGUGCCUAACACAUGCAAGUCGAACGAACGGACGAGGAGCUUGCUUCUUUGACGUUAGCGGCGGACGGGUGUGAAACAUGUGUAUAACCCACCUAUAUGACGGGGAAAACCUCGAGAAACCGGAGCUUAUCCCGGAUGAUAUUCUGAAGCGCAUGGUGGAAAAGUGAAAGACGGUCUUUCUGUCACUUAUCGCUGGAUCCCCGCUGGAUUAGCUGGUUGGUAAGGUCACGGGCUACCAAGGCGACGAGGCGUCGACGAGCUGCGGGGGUGGUCGGCCACCCGGGAAAGGGAACACCGUCCCGGAUCCUAAGGGAGGGAGCAGUAGGGAAUGUUCGGCAAUGGGCGGAAGCCUUACGGAGCAGCGCCGCGUGUGAGGUGGAGGUCUUCGGAGCGUAAAACUCUGUUAUUAGGGAAGAACAGAUGUGUAAGUAACUGUGCACAUCUUGACGGUACCUAAUCAGAAAGCCACGGCUAACUACGUG
rnacentral:rRNA from 1 species